rnacentral:rRNA from 1 species
CACUGUCACUCCUACGGGAGGCAGCAGGUGGGGAAUAUUGCACAAUGGGCGCAAGCCUGAUGCAGCCAUGCCGCGUGUGUGAAGAAGGCCUUCGGGUUGUAAAGCACUUUCAGUCGUGAGGAAGGCGGGUACGUUAAUAGCGUAUUCGUUUGACGUUAGCGACAGAAGAAGCACCGGCUAACUCCGUGCCAGCAGCCGCGGUAAUACGGAGGGUGCGAGCGUUAAUCGGAAUUACUGGGCGUAAAGCGCAUGCAGGUGGUUUGUUAAGUCAGAUGUGAAAGCCCCGGGGCUCAACCUCGGAAUAGCAUUUGAAACUGGCAGACUAGAGUACUGUAGAGGGGGUAGAAUUUCAGGUGUAGCGGUGAAAUGCGUAGAGAUCUGAAGGAAUACCGGUGGCGAAGGCGGCCCCCCUGGACAGAUACUGACACUCAGAUGCGAAAGCGUGGGGAGCAAACAGGAUUAGAUACCCUGGUAG